rnacentral:tRNA from 1 species
GAGGGUAUAGCUCAGUGAUAAAAGUGUGCCCUUAGCAUGCACGAGGUCCUGGGUUCAAACCCCAGUGCCUCCG